rnacentral:tRNA from 1 species
GGGCUAUUAUCUCAGUGGUAGAGCGCGCCCCUUAUAAUUGCGGGGCGAGGUCUCUGGUUCAAGUCCAAGGAUGGCCCA